UCCCUCCCAAUAUUCUUCUUGGGAUUGGUGGUAAAAAAAGAAAAAGUCCCCCUCGUUUCUGCUAUAAAUACCCUAUCUUCUCUCCUCCCUUUACAUCCUAUUAUCUCCCCCUUUUCUUCUUUCUCUUACCUUUUUUUCUCUUUGUUUAGACAGACAUGGCUGUCUUUGGAGCUUUUAGGGUUUUAUCAUUAUAAUGGCUGACGACCAUUAAAGAUAAACAAAAGGAACAUGGCCCUCUUUGUAUUCUUCCACAGCUUUCUUGAACUGCAACUUCGUCUUACUUUCCUUGUUAUUUUGUGUUGCUUAUAUAGGCGGUAUAUGGGUAUGUAUGUAUGUCGUUGCGGUUCAAUAAAGCUGUGGGAAGAUACGGACAGGGUCAAAGAGAAAUUUUCAAGAUCCAUCUGUUCUGGGAUUUGAAAAUGCUACUCUGUGUGCUUGAUUAUUUGUUUUUCUGAUUUCAUCUUACCCUCUCUCUCUCUCUCUCUCUCUUUUGUCUUUCUAAUCCACUUUAAGAGUUUUUGAUGCACUGAGUUUAAGUUUUUCUUUGACAUGAUUUGCUUGUGAAAGGGAGAUAAAUUAUUUCCUUUCUUUCUUUAUUUAAAUAACAAAGAUUUUUCUUAACCCUAAAUGGCUUUUUUUUUUUUGCAUUUUUGUUCUCCCAAUGAUAUAGAGAGAUGUUCAAGCUUGAAUUAUCAUUGGAUGUAUCUUGAUUUUUCUAAUUAUAAGUACAACCAUUAUUUCAUAACCCUUUUCUGUAUCUGGUCUAUCUUUCUCGUGGUUGCAGGCUUCCAUUGCUAUAAUUCUGCUGCAAACUGCUUCUUUUAUCCUCAAAGAAUAUUUAAAAAAAAAGUUACUCCAAAUUUGCAGUAACACUGUAAGAGGAGAGAGAGAGACAGAAAGUGGAUGAUAUAACUGUUGUUUUGGUACUUGGAAUUUUCUAUAGGUUCCACGCUUCUGGUCUUGAGGUUCAAAAAGCUCUUACUUGAUAUUUGUAGAUAAAAUUCCAGCAGAUAUCAGCACUUAUACUUCCAUUGGUAGAAUGUUAACUUCAGUCAUUUUUAUACAUUUCCUAACCCCACCCAAAUAUUCCAUUGCUUUCAAUUUUUUUUCUUUUUUCUUUUUAAUUAUAAUAGGGUUACUACGGACUUAUGAAGCAUUAAAGUUCCAGACUAUACAAGGACCACUGGAAUUAGGCUUUAACCUACCCUCCCUUAUUUGAUAUCCUCACCAGUUGAUCAAGUUUAGUUUGAACCAUGCUUAAAUUUCACUCAAUUGGAUUUGAAUGUGAAGUUGGGUAGGUAAAUGAAGCUUUUAUCAAAAUAGAAUCGGUAUAACAUAAGAUACCUGGAUGGUUCAUGUUAAGAGUGCUUUCUUUACAUUUCAUUAAGAUUAGGGUUUCUGUUUCUCUUAUAACAUAUACACACACGCGCACAUAGGCACAUAUGCCUUUUUCCAACAAUUCCUAAGGAAAGUGCUUUUAGAUUAUGCCAAAAUUUAUUGUCUUGUACCAAUGGCAUUGAGACCGUUUCAACAUCAGAUCUGAAUGUUCGUGCCUACCUUGCUUAGGUAGUAGACUAGUAGAAAUAUGGAGUGUUUUUUUAAUAUGCAAGUGGAUCUACCUAGACAAACUAGAUAAGUGUAUAUAUUAAGGCAGGGACAGAUUAUAGGACAAAUAUUCGUAGCCAUAAAACAAAUCCGAUAAGGAAGUACAAUAUGCAGCUUAACAAACAGUUCUUAUGUGUAUAUGUGUGUCUAUAUAUCUAACUUUUGCUGUAUUGGGAGAUGUUCACUAGAAAAUUGAAUUCAUGGUUUUAAGGCCAACUCUUUUGUUCGUUUAUGAAGCUGCAUAGAUCAUUUGAUCUAACUACUUUAAUUAUUUGAUCCAUUCAUUCAUAUAUUGUAUUAAUGCAGCCAACUAAUCUAGCUCAUAUAUAUAUAUAUACCAUUGGUCCUUUUUGGGUAUUUAUAUAUUAUAUGGAUUUAAUUGAUAUACUACGUGUUAUAGCCAUUUGCUUUUUGGAAGGGAAAAUAGACCAGAGCUGAAAAGCUGUGACUGCCUUGUGUUUUGUGAAUGUCUACUUGAAUCUCGGUAAUCUUAAGAGCUACUACUGUAACCGUGUUGCAACAUUCUGUCUCACAGCCUCUAUUAAAUAAUACUAAUUAAUCUCAAACUCUUCCACUUCAAAGAACAAGAUAAUUGGAUGCCACCUCUUUAAGGGUAGUUCUAUAAACCAAGAGAAUUAAACCGGUGCUUUGAAGUAAUUUCCUUUACGCAUGUGCACACAUGCAGCAUUUUCUUCUACAUUACUAGUGUCUGUGUAUAGGGCUGUAAAUUAUGAACAAUUAGAUUUGUAUUCGUUUAUGUUCAAUAAGAUUUUGAAGCUUGUUUAUUAAACGAACACAAAAAAACCUUAAAAUAUUGUCAUACACAAUCGAUAAUAUUUUGCAGCCAAAAAACAAGAUUGAAGGGUUAGAAAUACUGUCAUAAUGAUGGCUCACUUUGGGUUGUACAGAACUUUCUUGCAUAUAAAUGGCUUUUGAUCUUGAGGGUCAACAAAGUUGCCAUUUAUCGUUGUUGGGCGAACUUUUACAUUGAGAUAAAAGGGCAGGGCCCUCCCUCAUGAAGCUUCAUUUAGUGCCAAGCAUAUUACCCAUAUCUACUGGUUCGAACAAAGAGUUAUGCCUCAAAAGCGACGUGACUGAACCAUUUUCCCCAACACAUGGGGGCGGAAAAUUAUUGCUUUGCCUUGCCAUUUCCCUUUCACUUAAUUUGUCCAUAGCUAUCGGCUUACCUCCCCUCCGAAGUUUUUUAAUUUUACACUCUAAUUAAUAUUUAUCUUUCACUAGUUUUUUGAAAUCCACUAAGGUUUUAGUUGAUUAAGACAGUAGGGCACUGAACAUGGAAGCUGAAACUACUACUGAUGUAUAAGAGCGCGACAUAUACUAAAGAUAACCAAAGUUACACAUUUUGUUGUGUAUGAAUAGUUUGAAAAAAAGUUAGCUAUAUGAGCUAAAUGAAUUAAAUUUAAUUUUAUUAAUCCUAUCCAAAUUAGUUGUUUCUUUUACCAUCUUAGAUUUAUUUCAUUUGAAGAAAACAUUCAAAAUUUUAAAGUUUUCCUUUUAAUUUUUGUCCAUGCUUUGUCAAUAAUUGGGUUCACUGCGAUUUUUUUUUAUUUUUUUUUUUAAAAAUAAGUGCCCCCAGUACAGGAAAGCUAGAUGAAAUAACAGGUCUAAUUAGUAUAGUCUAACAUCAUCAUCAUUAUUCAAAAUCAUGCAUGUUUCCAAGCUUUUUUCCAUUCUUUUAGAGAAAGAUUCCCCAUCACCAAUUCUUUUACUCUCUAAUGGUCCAUUUUCCCUUCUUUUUCCAUCUUGAUUACACCUUAAUUAUGGUUUUUCCCUUUUCCUUCUUUCUUUCUUUUGGGGUUUUCUAUUAGGUGAGAUUCUUCUAACCCUUCUUUUAACAUCCCUCACUUUACUUAUGGAUCACUUUUUUUUCGUCAUUAUUUUUUUUCUAAUAAUAUGCCUACCGAGUUUUUUUAAGCUUAAUAUAUAAAAGGUAAAGUUCAGUACAGCGAGAAAAGUAAUGUUCACCGCAGCCUCGAAUCAAGCUAAAAGCAUUGAGCUCUUACUAGUCUUAGCACAAUUAUUCACUUCUCUACAAACAUAAACAAUCUUAACAUUUUGCACAAGGAUAAUACAAUGAUCAAUAAUCUUAAACGUUUCAGCAAAUCUCCAUUGACGAAGCACUGGGUUGAAGCACCACGAUAUAAUCACCAUUGAGUCCGUCUCAACAGCCAAAUCUCUAUUAUUUUCCCAUUCAGACUUAACAAAUACUUCCAAUGCAAUUCUGAUAGCAGUGAGUUCUGUAAGAUCAGAAUCAGAAUUUUUCAAGGGACCCGAGAGAAUAGCAAUUAGCUUACCAGUAUCGCCCUUCAGAAUACCUCCGUAACCUGCACGUCUUGGAUUACCACUCGAGGAGCCGUCCACAUUGAAUUUAAGGUAGCCCAUGGACGUGGCUGGGGCAGUCACACCAUGUUAGUUCGAAGGUGAUUCUUCACAGUAAGAGAAAAACUUGAAGAGGGAGAAUCCCACCAAGCUUCUUCUGAAAACCAAGCACUUCCAAAUGCAGCUUUCGUUCAAAAAGGUACUCAAAUUUUAGGGGAUUCUUUGGUUUAUCUGUUGUGCUUCAAUGCUUUGAUCCUUAUAGCUUGCUGGAAAUGGUGUUGAUUUUCAGGAGGAAACUCUAUUACCAUAGAGGAAAUCUUGUUUCUAUUAAGGUUACUUUUUGUUUUGUUUUUUUAAUUGAGCAAGAGUAAGAACAACAGGGUUUGAACUA